rnacentral:misc_RNA from 1 species
ACUUGCUGCACGUCAACCUGGAAGAGCUUUUCUAGAAGCUGCAAAUUGAAGUUGCAGAAUUUACAAAUCUGUACCUUUAGCUUUCUACUUCCGCUGAAUGAAAUUUUGUGUCUUGAUCUUCUAUCUAGUUCUGAACCAUUAUAUAAGUUGUUACCGCUCUGAACGUUUACCUUUUCAGAGUAUAAUUAUUGGCUUUUAUUUUAAUGAUGAUAAGUUUUAUUUUACAUUUUGCUGUCCUUGGA